CUUUAGUGGUCACACCACUUGGGAAGAGAGUAGUAGCCUCAGCCUCAGAAAGUGAGGGAAUGACCAUGACUUUAUCACCAGGCUGAAAGAGACACAAGAACAGAGAAGUGCGCUUUGAAAGCAGGGUCUAGUGACGGCGUUAGAGCAAGCCGUCAGCGGGACAUUAAUUGUGCUGCAGCCAAAUGUGGCUCCUUUGCCAUGUGCUUUUUGUUCAUCUUCUUCAGUUCUCUCAUUUAAAAAAGGGAGUGAAUCAAGGCAUUUUAACUUUCAGAUUCAAGGAAAUGAGAGAAGCAAAUAAAAAGGAUUGGCUGAAGUAACUGCAGAAACUAAAGGAAUACCACCACAAUGUCUGUAAACUGUUCAACCUGUAUGAAUCUGGAGCAGGCAAACAGUUCGGUUUAACACUGGUCAGUGCUCCAUGUAUGAAAAUAGUCUGGCUCAGAAUCCCCUUAAAGCAAAUGAAGCAAACUAAAUAUAACAUGUUGGUUUUACAGGUGUUCACAGGGGAUUUUUGUAAACUUUGGAAAAAGUCAGGGUACUUUUCCCACCUGCUUUCAGCAAUGCCAAGCUAACAGGCAGCUGGCGGUGGUCAGAAAGAGUGAAUUCCUGCUAUACUGGUAUUUACAGAAGUAGAAAUUUUUCAGUAGAAAUAAAUGCUAUCACUGAUCAAGUUGCUGACAAGUUCUACUGAUCAGAUGUUACAAUAAUAUUAAACAGGACAUGGCAGUGUAUCACAGCAUGAAUUUUCUAUCUACAGGGGCUAAAUGAUUGUGAAAGCGCAGACAUUGUGCUGUAGAUGUGUGCACAGUUAAGCUAAAUGUCACAACAUAAUCUGUCUAAGAGGGCCAUGCAUUUUCACUGACAUACACACAUCGUUUCACUGUUUACCUUCCAGUCAACAGGUGUGGCGACCUUCUUCUGUGCAGUGAGCUGCAGGGAGUCGAUAACUCGAAGCAGCUCAUCAAAGUUCCUUCCCGUGGUGGCAGGGUAAAGGAUGGAAAGCUUCAGCUUCUUGUCGGGGCCAAUCACAAAGACCUAAAAUGGG